GCAGCCAUGGAUGUGGUAUUACCAACAAAUUUGAGUUCUGCUGUUCAGUCCUACUUUGUUUUCCGUCUACUUGCCAAUGAAACCUGGGUGGGGCAGGUCCUGAAGGAGUGUGAAAGUAGAAGGCUAUGAGAGAGAGAGAGAGGCAACUGUUUCAGACACACCAAAGAUAAUACUGACUCCUGUGCGUAUUUAAUUUACAGAUUUAUUCAAACCUAAGGCAUCCUGAAUUGCUGCUUAAUAAUACUGAUGGCUGUACUAAGGAGAUUUGCAGGGACCUGGCAAGAUAAGGUAUGUCAUUGUGUGUUUAUAGAGGUAUGAAAAAUGACCUGGCUCAGAAAACCUUAAUGAAGCUAACUCAGGUUCACUGAUGCAAUGAAACUCGGCUUUCUUUCUGAAGAACUGCAGCUGCACUUCAAGUGUGACAGUUCUGUCCAGCUAUGGACAGGUCCAGAAAAAGGAUGCUCCAAAUUCAAAGUAUACUCCUUCACAUGUUCUGGAAGGAUCUCUGAGUGCCUGUGGGAUGGAUUGCUAUCUUGUUUUACUGUUCUGGAUCUCUGCUGGGAUUGACACUGAGGAUGCCAGUACUAAUUGUGAUGGGUUUUUGUUUGUGAUCUGGAUACCUGCCCACUAGGAAAUGAAUUGGAACAACUCAGUCUUUUCGGGAUUAAACUGAGGGAGAAAAACAAUCUGUCAGUUUCAAUCAAUGCUCAGUUCACAUUUUUGCCCAUACUGCCUUGUAGAGAAAUUAAUUUUCUAAAGUUCAGAUUCUGAAUUCAUUGACAAUAACAUCUGUAGAUGUGAAUGGGAGGAAAGGCUGUAUUUCUGCAUAUCACCAGCAGAGAAAUGUGACUGCAUCAG
rnacentral:lncRNA from 1 species